rnacentral:rRNA from 1 species
CCUACGGGGUGCAGCAGUGGGAAAUAUUGGACAAUGGGCGAAAGCCUGAUCCAGCAAUGCCGCGUGUGUGAAGAAGGUCUUCGGAUUGUAAAGCACUUUCGACGGGGACGAUGAUGACGGUACCCGUAGAAGAAGCCCCGGCUAACUUCGUGCCAGCAGCCGCGGUAAUACGAGGGGGGCUAGCGUUGCUCGGAAUGACUGGGCGUAAAGGGCGCGUAGGCGGUUUAUGCAGUCAGGUGUGAAAACCCCGGGCUUAACCUGGGAACUGCAUUUGAGACGCAUAGACUAGAGGUCGAGAGAGGGUUGUGGAAUUCCCAGUGUAGAGGUGAAAUUCGUAGAUAUUGGGAAGAAUACCGGUGGCGAAGGCGGCCCCCUGGACGAAGACUGACGCUCAGGUGCGAAAGCGUGGGGAGCAAACAGGAUUAGAUACCCGCGUAGUC